rnacentral:rRNA from 1 species
AUUGAACGCUGGCGGCAGGCCUAACACAUGCAAGUCGAGCGAGCGGCGGACGGGUGAGUAAUGUAUGGGGACUGGCCUAUAGCGGGGGGGAACUACUGGGAAAGGUAGCUAAUACCGCAUACUAUAGGAUAAACCAUAUGGGAUUAGCUAGUAGGUGGGGUAAUGGCUUACCUAGGCGACGACCCCUAGCUGGUCUGAGAGGAUGAUCAGCGACAGUGGGGCUGAGACAAGGCCCAGACUCCGAGGGAGGCAGAAGUGGGUCACAUGGCGCAAUGGGCGCAAGCCUGAUGCAGCCAUGCCGCGUGUAUGAAGAAGGCCCUCGGGUUGUAAAGUACUUUCAGUCUGGAGGCGUUACCGACAGAAUAAGCACCGGCUAACUCCGUGCCAGCCGCCGCGGUAAUUC